GAUGAACGCUGGCGGCGUGCCUAAUACAUGCAAGUCGAGCGAACGGACGAGAAGCUUGCUUCUCUGACGUUAGCGGCGGACGGGUGAGUAACACGUGGAUAACCUACCUAUAAGACUGGGAUAACUUCGGGAAACCGGAGCUAAUACCGGAUAAUAUUUUGAACCGCAUGGUUCAAUAGUGAAAGACGGUCUUGCUGUCACUUAUAGAUGGAUCCGCGCUGCAUUAGCUAGUUGGUAAGGUAACGGCUUACCAAGGCAACGAUGCAUAGCCGACCUGAGAGGGUGAUCGGCCACACUGGAACUGAGACACGGUCCAGACUCCUACGGGAGGCAGCAGUAGGGAAUCUUCCGCAAUGGGCGAAAGCCUGACGGAGCAACGCCGCGUGAGUGAUGAAGGUCUUCGGAUCGUAAAACUCUGUUAUUAGGGAAGAACAUAUGCGUAAGUAACUGUGCACGUCUUGACGGUACCUAAUCAGAAAGCCACGGCUAACUACGUG
rnacentral:rRNA from 1 species